rnacentral:rRNA from 1 species
UACGGGGGGGGCAAGCGUUGUUCGGAAUUACUGGGCGUAAAGGGCGCGUAGGUGGCAUGGUAAGUCGGAUGUGAAAUCCCGGGGCUCAACCCCGGAACUGCAUUCGAUACUGCUGCGCUAGAGUACUGGAGAGGAGAUUGGAAUUUACGGUGUAGCAGUGAAAUGCGUAGAUAUCGUAAGGAAGACCAGUGGCGAAGGCGGAUCUCUGGACAGUUACUGACACUGAGGCACGAAGGCCAGGGGAGCAAACGGG